rnacentral:rRNA from 1 species
GACGAACGCUGGCGGCGUGCUUAACACAUGCAAGUCGAACGGAAAGGCCCUGCUUGCAGGGUACUCGAGUGGCGAACGGGUGAGUAACACGUGGGUGAUCUGCCCUGCACUUCGGGAUAAGCCUGGGAAACUGGGUCUAAUACCGGAUAGGAGCCAUUUUUAGUGUGAUGGUUGGAAAGUUUUUUCGGUGUAGGAUGAGCUCGCGGCCUAUCAGCUUGUUGGUGGGGUAAUGGCCUACCAAGGCGGCGACGGGUAGCCGGCCUGAGAGGGUGGACGGCCACAUUGGGACUGAGAUACGGCCCAGACUCCGACGGGAGGCAGCAGUGGGGAAUAUUGCACAAUGGGCGCAAGCCUGAUGCAGCGACGCCGCGUGGGGGAUGACGGCCUUCGGGUUGGAAACUCAUUUCGCUAGGGACGAAGCUUUUUGUGACGGUACCUAGAGAAGAAGCACCGGCUAACUACGUG